rnacentral:rRNA from 1 species
GGGCCCGCACAAGCGGUGGAGCAUGUGGUUUAAUUCGAUGCAACGCGAAGAACCUUACCAGGGUUUGACAUCCUGCGAAUCUGUUGGAAACGAGAGAGUGCCUUCGGGAACGCAGUGACAGGUGGUGCAUGGCUGUCGUCAGCUCGUGUCGUGAGAUGUUGGGUUAAGUCCCGCAACGAGCGCAACCCACGUCGUUAGUUGCCAGCAUUUAGUUGGGCACUCUAGAGAGACUGCCGGUGAUAAACCGGAGGAAGGUGUGGAUGACGUCAAGUCAUCAUGCCCCUUACAUCCUGGGCUACGCACGUACUACAAUGCUACGGACAAAGGGCAGCAAACUCGCGAGAGCUAGCAAAUCCCAUAAACCGUGGCUCAGUUCAGAUCGUAGGCUGCAACUCGCCUACGUGAAGGAGGAAUC